rnacentral:rRNA from 1 species
UACGGGAGGCAGCAGUGGGGAAUCUUGCGCAAUGGGCGAAAGCCUGACGCAGCCAUGCCGCGUGAAUGAUGAAGGUCUUAGGAUUGUAAAAUUCUUUCACCGGGGACGAUAAUGACGGUACCCGGAGAAGAAGCCCCGGCUAACUUCGUGCCAGCAGCCGCGGUAAUACGAAGGGGCUAGCGUUGCUCGGAAUUACUGGGCGUAAAGGGAGCGUAGGCGGACAUUUAAGUCAGGGGUGAAAUCCCGGGGCUCAACCUCGGAAUUGCCUUUUGAUACCGGGUGUCUUGAGUAUGAGAGAGGUGUGUGGAACUCCGAGUGUAGAGGUGAAAUUCGUAGAUAUUCGGAAGAACACCAGUGGCGAAGGCGACACACUGGCUCAUUACUGACGCUGAGGCUCGAAAGCGUGGGGAGCAAACAGGGAUUAGAUACC